CAUUAAAACACCAGUUCUCGUGAGAUCACUGAAGUUAAGAAAAGUCGAGCUUGGUCAGUACUUAGCUGGGCAACCGCUUUGGAAUACCAGAGGCUGUAAG